GGACAAUUAGCUCAGUUGGUUAGAGCGUUCCGUUCACAUCGGAAAGGUCAGAGGUUCGAGUCCUCUAUUGUCCA
rnacentral:tRNA from 2 species